rnacentral:rRNA from 1 species
GCCAAUGCAUGCUUUUACAGUAUGAAAAUUGGUGAUUUAUAAUAACUUAGCAAAUCGCAAAGUGAAAACAGGCGAUAAAUCAUUCAAGUUUCUGACCUAUCAGCUUUCGACGGUAUGGUAUUGGCUUACCGUGGCAGUGACGGUUAACGGGGGAUUAGGGUUCGAUUCCGGAGAGGGAGCCUGAGAAACGGCUACCACAUCUAAGGAAGGCAGCAGGCGCGCAAAUUACCCAAUUCUAACAGUUUGAGAGAGGUAGUAACAAGAAAUAACAAUACAAGGCAGUUAAAAUGCUUUGUAAUUGGAAUGAUAGAAAUUUAAACCCUUUUUAAAGUAUCAAUUGGAGGGCAAGUCUGGUGCCAGCAGCCGCGGUAAUUCCAGCUCCAAUAGCGUAUAUUAAAAUUGUUGCAGUUAAAAAGCUCGUAGUUGAAGUUCUGCUAAAAGUAACCGGUCUGCUUUUAAUAAAGGUGGUAUCUUGGUGUGUAUUUAGCAAUGAUGUCCUUUGAAGUGUUUUUUACUUUAUUGUAAUAAAGCAUAUUCAGGACUUUUACUUUGAGAAAAUUAGAGUGUUUCUAGCAGGCUAACGCUUUGAAUACUGCAGCAU